GAUUAUAUACUGAACCUUACUUUGAUAAGACUCGAUUUCAAACGAGAAAUUGAAUAGGUGGGAUUUGCUGUAACAUAAAAAAUAAAAAAAUUGUUUGGCACAUAUUAGUGGACUGGAUAGUAGAAUAAACAACUUACCAACAUGCCAUUAGUAGAUUAGGAUUUAAGCAUUGUUAAUUCUUUUUUUCUUUUUUAUCAAAAUGAGGAUUUGAGGCAUUGAUCUGACUUUCGGUGAAGACAAAAGUUAUCGCUAAAGAGUACCAAAAUCCAAGUGAAGGGAAAUGAUAUGGGCAGAGCAAUGGUUGGGGAGAAUAUUGUGGUUGGUGAGACUUGAGAGAGGAAGAUUUGGCUAAACAUUGAAUGGAGCAUGAUGCAUAAAGUAUUUUUAUUGUCAUGAUUUCUGAUUACCAAGUCUUUUGGGAGCCAGCCCUUAUGCAAGAUAAGGUGAUGGCUGCUCCUCCUCUAGUGGAGGCAUUCUGCAAUUCUAGAUUGACCUUGAGCACUUUAUGUCGGUAUAUACAAGUAGGCUAUGCACAGUUGUCAUUGCAUGGCGCAUGAUUGUCAUAUUUCCUCACUUCUUGCCUCUCGGUCUGAGGUGAAGACUUAUUAAUGAAGCUCCUCGCUUCAAGCUUUAGCUGGUUAUUGUCUCAUUUAAUAUGGGUGCUCAUUGUUGCAAGGUUGAGAUCACUAUGUAUUUCUAUGUUUAUGACCUUAAGAGUUCAUCUUUGCUACCCAUCAUCAGAUUUCAUAAUGUAUUUGCCACAGGUGUUUAGUUCUUAAUCUCUUGUUACAUAGAAGUAUAUGAUUCUGUUUUUCCAUGAUUGUUUCUGAAGUGAUAGUAGUGGAAAAUAUUGGUUAUUGUAAUCUUAUUAUUAAGUAAAAUUGAAUGAAUACCGCUGAAUUUUAUUCUGCUACAGUAAAUUGGGAUAUGCCGUAAGGAGCUGAAUUUUUAGCUAGAUUGUCGUACACUUGAAUAUUUAUGAUUUUAUUAUUUAGGUGGAAGAAAAUCAUAUUUACGUUGUUUAUCCAGAUGGUAAAUAUUUUUUUUUUGGGUAUGCAAAUUUACAUAUGCUCUUAACAGUAGAUUUUAGACAUUUCCCUGCAUUUUUCACAAAAAGUUGAUAAAAGUUAUCUGUUCUAUGGAAAAAUGAAGAGAAGUGAGAUAAUGUAUAUGCAAGAGGUUAUUCAGAAGAUGUUUUACCUGCAAUUUAAACUGUUUUAAUUUUUAAAUUUCCACUGUCCCUAUGUGGAGAGAACGGUGAACAAGAAAGAAAAAAAAUUAUUACCAGGAGUCAUAUUCUUCAAAAAUUUGCACUUCUGGUUUGGUUGAUAGGAAAUUUGACAUAAAUGGUUGCAAUUUGAAAUUAAGCAUCUACUUGCAGGUUGAAAGAGUGAUCUUAAGAUUGGCUACCGGAAGAUACUUCCAGAAUGGAAUAUCUACCAAAGGAUUUCUCUGGAAUGGACCGCGGGAAACUCACACUGAUGGGGUCCACUGUAUGUGUAAUGCUCACUCUACACUUUGCGAUACAGCUUGUAUCUGAACAUUUCCAAUCUUGGAAGAAGCCAAAGGAACAGAAGGCAAUAGUAAUUAUUGUCCUCAUGGCUCCAUUAUAUGCCAUUGACUCCUACGUUGGUCUGCUAGACAUUCGUGGGAGCGCAACAUUUUUCACAUUCUUGGAUUCUGUCAAAGAAUGCUAUGAGGCUCUGGUAAAUGUUCAACGACUACGCAUUCUGUAACUCCAACUUGUGGUUUUAGUCAUCAGAGCCAAGUUGGAUAAUUCACGCAUAGCACUUUAUUUUUGCCUGCUUUAUCAACUUUUUUUUUUUUUUUGUGGUGGGAAUUAACUUUAUCUUUUGAUGAAGUGUAGGUGAUGGCUAAGUUUUUGGCUUUGAUGUAUACUUAUUUGAACAUAUCUAUCAGCAAAAAUAUAGUGCCUGAUGAAAUUAAAGGAAGAGAGAUUCACCACUCAUUCCCAAUGACUCUUUUCCAGGUCGAGCUCUCCAUUCUUCAACCAAUGGAUGUUGUAAUGUGAUAAAUUAGCAGUAUGUUAAUCUUCACCCUUGGGACGUAUUAUCAUCCAACUUGAUUUGUUUGCGAUAUUUUUAAAUGGAAUUAUUCUCAUAAUUUAAAGCAAAUGCAAGCCAUCAUCUUGCCUCUUGAAUCUUCAUAAUUAUGAAUUUUUCAGUCUGUUUUUAACCUCAUGAACCACAGUAAUGUCUAAAUGCACCAUUUUGGCAAUUGCAGCCUCACACUGUCCAUCUGGACCAUAAGAAUUUAAAGCUUCUCAAGCAAUGGACAUGGCAGUUUGUGGUAAUUCGCCCAGUUUGCUCUGUCUUGAUGAUAGCUCUUCAGCUUCUUGGAAUAUAUCCCAGUUGGCUCAGCUGGACAUUCACCAUGAUCUUGAACGUUUCUGUUUCUUUGGCAUUGUAUUCCCUUGUGGUUUUCUACCAUGUUUUUGCGAAAGAGUUAGCACCGCAUAAACCACUUGCCAAGUUUUUGUGCGUCAAAGGCAUCGUCUUCUUCUGUUUCUGGCAGGUAUGCUUAUCGUAUAUAAUCUUCGGAAACACCAGUCUAGUAUACCGGUUUCAAGAAGUUUUAUACUUUUCAAAUUAAAAGAUUAACCAAGGGUUGAAGUGGGUUUUGGGUCCAUUUGACAUAACUUCUCCUUCUGCUUCUUGUAGAGGAGCUUCAAGAGUCAGUCGCCUUGGACCAGCUUUUUCAAAAGAGAUCUUCUAAAUGAACAAAGAACUUCUAGAAAAUUAUCCAAACACGUUCAAAAGCAUCUUCUUAGCCUCAAAAACAAUUUUUUUGGCUUUUUAAAAGCCUUGCAAAACAUGUCCCAUACAUAGGUGGAAUUGGUGGCUUGCAUGUUCUUUGCUUUCUCUCCUCUUCAAACAUUUAUCGAUUGUGAAAUGAUUAUUUAGAUGCGUUUUCUAUCCUUUCCCAGGGAAUUCUGCUUGACAUUCUUGUAGCAAUGGGAAUAGUAAAAUCGAAUCAUUUCUGGCUCGACGUGGAGCACGUCCAGGAAGCUCUUCAGAACAUGUUAGUGAUUGUGGAGAUGGUUUUCUUCUCACGCUUGAUGCAAUAUGCAUACACAGCUGCACCUUACCGCAAUGCUUCAGUUUCAGAAACCAGUGACAAAAAGAAAGAGUGAUUGGAAAUCUUAAGGUAUAUUUCGAGCAACAUUAUAGUUGUAUUGUGGUGUGUACUGGUGCCAUUCAUGUCGAGACUCAGAUGCAUUAUGUUUGCGCAUGUAAUGAAUAUAUGGCGAAGUGUUGCAAAAUAACAUAGGUAUUGGAACUGUCGGACGUGUAGUUUGUUGUGAAGUGGUUGAACCAUGCAUUGUACUUUUUUCAAAAAUUAAGUCAACUGUACCCUUGUCAAAAUUUGGUUUAAAGUAUUAUCUAUAAUCUAUAAUAUAUUAAAGUAUCGCAUCGAGGGUGAAUCAUUUUUUGAAUCAUUUUAACCUUUCUAUAAUUCAAUUAUUUCAACAAUACUUUACUUUUCAUUUUUCGAUAUAUAAUAAAUAUCACAUAAUUAUUGUCUUUUAUGAAAUUUAUGUUAUUAAUUAAUAAUUCUCAAUAAAUUAACAUUUAUAUUAAUCAAGAUUCAAUGAAUUCUCACUUGAUGAAUUUUCAAUUAUAUGAAUCUAGAGUCAUUAUAGAUGAAUUUAUUUAUGUUCAUGUAUGUAGAAAUUUUAAUGAAUGUUUAAAUUUAUGUAUUAAUAAUUAAUUUUUAUGUAUAAAACGUAAUAUAAAAAGAUUCCUCAUUUAUAGCAUUUCAUCGUUACAAAAAAAUUGAAUAAUAGAAAUUGAAUUUUGAGAGUACAAUUUUCUUCUUUUAAAUUUUUAUGCUAAAUUUUAUUUUAAUUAAUUCGUAUGAAAUUCAUCAAAUCUUCCAAUAAAUUGAUAACAAAGAUCAUUUUUACUAUAAGUAUUUUAGAAUAAAUUGCAAUGCCUUACUGUUAAAAUAAACGUGUAGAAACGCUGUGACGACACAAUAAUGUGAAAUAUGAGGGAAAAAAAAUCUACACACAGCCUGAUUGCGGAGGAGGGGGGGGGGGGCGUUAGUUAUCUUGUUUCAUAUCAAUAAUAUUUUCUUGAUUUCUUCAUCGAAACACUUUAACUUAUCUUGUUAUUGAUCUUAUCCCAGCCAUCAAAUUAUACAUCAACAGCCCGGAUUCUGUAAGUAUCUCUUUGAUUCUCUGUGUUUUGCAAUUUCAAUUGGAAGAAAUCACCAGCGUUGGAAUAAGAUUGUUGAAAACUGGAUUGAAGUGUUAAUGGAAAACUGAAUAAUCCGGUUAAGCUUGGCGUUUUUUAGCUGGGUCUUACCGCGUACUGUUCUUGUUGCAAUUUGGGAAUUUAAUCGUAGGUCCUCAAAAUAAUAAUAAUAAUAAUAAUUUCAUUUUUUUUUCUUGCCUUCUUAAUAAUAUGAGGAGGAAAGGAAGAUUAGGCUGCAAACCAGAAAGAGCUGUAUCAGUGUAUGUGAUAGAGUGCUGAUCUGUCUCUAAAACAGGGUUUGGUUGGGUUGAUUAUAUACUGAACCUUACUUUGAUAAGACUCGAUUUCAAACGAGAAAUUGAAUAGGUGGGAUUUGCUGUAACAUAAAAAAUAAAAAAAUUGUUUGGCACAUAUUAGUGGACUGGAUAGUAGAAUAAACAACUUACCAACAUGCCAUUAGUAGAUUAGGAUUUAAGCAUUGUUAAUUCUUUUUUUCUUUUUUAUCAAAAUGAGGAUUUGAGGCAUUGAUCUGACUUUCGGUGAAGACAAAAGUUAUCGCUAAAGAGUACCAAAAUCCAAGUGAAGGGAAAUGAUAUGGGCAGAGCAAUGGUUGGGGAGAAUAUUGUGGUUGGUGAGACUUGAGAGAGGAAGAUUUGGCUAAACAUUGAAUGGAGCAUGAUGCAUAAAGUAUUUUUAUUGUCAUGAUUUCUGAUUACCAAGUCUUUUGGGAGCCAGCCCUUAUGCAAGAUAAGGUGAUGGCUGCUCCUCCUCUAGUGGAGGCAUUCUGCAAUUCUAGAUUGACCUUGAGCACUUUAUGUCGGUAUAUACAAGUAGGCUAUGCACAGUUGUCAUUGCAUGGCGCAUGAUUGUCAUAUUUCCUCACUUCUUGCCUCUCGGUCUGAGGUGAAGACUUAUUAAUGAAGCUCCUCGCUUCAAGCUUUAGCUGGUUAUUGUCUCAUUUAAUAUGGGUGCUCAUUGUUGCAAGGUUGAGGUGACUACGUAUUUCUAUGUUUAUGACCUUAAGAGU
rnacentral:lncRNA from 1 species